rnacentral:lncRNA from 1 species
CUCAGUACUGUUUCCUGCUAAGAGACAUGUCCUGUGCUUGUUUUCUAGAAGGCAUCAGACCGGGACACUGAGUCCUGUUCCAGAUGGGUGUAUCACAGAACCACUUCCAGGAUGGUAGGGUCACCCCAGAGCCUAUGGAUCCAGAAAAUGUGAUGAUGCAACACAUACCCAACCUUGCUUCUGCCAACGUGGAUUCAGGGCGCCUGAAAACGCAGUAAAGGGAAGAGCCCAAGGAUUUGAAAGCCUAACCAAAGGUUCAUAGCACACCAAGAAGAAGGUUGGAAAAUGUUCUGUGGAGU